UACGUAGGGUGCGAGCGUUGUCCGGAAUUACUGGGCGUAAAGAGCUUGUAGGCGGUUUGUCGCGUCUGCUGUGAAAUUUCGGGGCUCAACCCCGAACUUGCAGUGGGUACGGGCAGACUAGAGUGUGGUAGGGGAGACUGGAAUUCCUGGUGUAGCGGUGAAAUGCGCAGAUAUCAGGAGGAACACCGGUGGCGAAGGCGGGUCUCUGGGCCGUAACUGACGCUGAGGAGCGAAAGCGUGGGGAGCGAACAGG
rnacentral:rRNA from 1 species